AGACCCGAAACCCGGUGAUCUAGCCAUGGGCAGGUUGAAGGUUGGGUAACACUAACUGGAGGACCGAACCGACUAAUGUUGAAAAAUUAGCGGAUGACCUGUGGCUGGGGGUGAAAGGCCAAUCAAACCGGGAGAUAGCUGGUUCUCCCCGAAAGCUAUUUAGGUAGCGCCUCGUGAAUUCAUCUCCGGGGGUAGAGCACUGUUUCGGCUAGGGGGCCAUCCCGGCUUACCAACCCGAUGCAAACUGCGAAUACCGGAGAAUGUUAUCACGGGAGACACACGGCGGGUGCUAACGUCCGUCGUGAAGAGGGAAACAACCCAGACCGCCAGCUAAGGUCCCAAAGUCAUGGUUAAGUGGGAAACGAUGUGGGAAGGCCCAGACAGCCAGGAUGUUGGCUUAGAAGCAGCCAUCAUUUAAAGAAAGCGUAAUAGCUCACUGGUCGAGUCGGCCUGCGCGGAAGAUGUAACGGGGCUAAACCAUGCACCGAAGCUGCGGCAGCGACGCUGAUGCGUUGUUGGGUAGGGGAGCGUUCUGUAAGCCUGCGAAGGUGUGUCGUGAGGCAUGCUGGAGGUAUCAGAAGUGCGAAUGCUGACAUAAGUAACGAUAAAGCGGGUGAAAAGCCCGCUCGCCGGAAGACCAAGGGUUCCUGUCCAACGUUAAUCGGGGCAGGGUGAGUCGACCCCUAAGGCGAGGCCGAAAGGCGUAGUCGAUGGGAAACGGGUUAAUAUUCCCGUACUUGGUGUUACUGCGAAGGGGGGACGGAGAAGGCUAUGUUGGCCGGGCGACGGUUGUCCCGGUUUAAGCGUGUAGGUGUGUGUUCCAGGUAAAUCCGGUUCACUUUAACACUGAGGCGUGAUGACGAGGCACUACGGUGCUGAAGCAACAAAUGCCCUGCUUCCAGGAAAAGCCUCUAAGCAUCAGGUAACAUCAAAUCGUACCCCAAACCGACACAGGUGGUCAGGUAGAGAAUACCAAGGCGCUUGAGAGAACUCGGGUGAAGGAACUAGGCAAAAUGGUGCCGUAACUUCGGGAGAAGGCACGCUGACACGUAGGUGAAGUGAUUUACUCAUGGAGCUGAAGUCAGUCGAAGAUACCAGCUGGCUGCAACUGUUUAUUAAAAACACAGCACUGUGCAAACACGAAAGUGGACGUAUACGGUGUGACGCCUGCCCGGUGCCGGAAGGUUAAUUGAUGGGGUCAGCGCAAGCGAAGCUCCUGAUCGAAGCCCCGGUAAACGGCGGCCGUAACUAUAACGGUCCUAAGGUAGCGAAAUUCCUUGUCGGGUAAGUUCCGACCUGCACGAAUGGCGUAAUGAUGGCCAGGCUGUCUCCACCCGAGACUCAGUGAAAUUGAACUCGCUGUGAAGAUGCAGUGUACCCGCGGCAAGACGGAAAGACCCCGUGAACCUUUACUAUAGCUUGACACUGAACAUUGAGCCUUGAUGUGUAGGAUAGGUGGGAGGCUUUGAAGUGUGGACGCCAGUCUGCAUGGAGCCGGCCUUGAAAUACCACCCUUUAAUGUUUGAUGUUCUAACGUGGACCCGUGAUCCGGGUUGCGGACAGUGUCUGGUGGGUAGUUUGACUGGGGCGGUCUCCUCCUAAAGAGUAACGGAGGAGCACGAAGGUUGGCUAAUCCUGGUCGGACAUCAGGAGGUUAGUGCAAUGGCAUAAGCCAGCUUGACUGCGAGCGUGACGGCGCGAGCAGGUGCGAAAGCAGGUCAUAGUGAUCCGGUGGUUCUGAAUGGAAGGGCCAUCGCUCAACGGAUAAAAGGUACUCCGGGGAUAACAGGCUGAUACCGCCCAAGAGUUCAUAUCGACGGCGGUGUUUGGCACCUCGAUGUCGGCUCAUCACAUCCUGGGGCUGAAGUAGGUCCCAAGGGUAUGGCUGUUCGCCAUUUAAAGUGGUACGCGAGCUGGGUUUAGAACGUCGUGAGACAGUUCGGUCCCUAUCUGCCGUGGGCGCUGGAGAACUGAGGGGGGCUGCUCCUAGUACGAGAGGACCGGAGUGGACGCAUCACUGGUGUUCGGGUUGUCAUGCCAAUGGCACUGCCCGGUAGCUAAAUGCGGAAGAGAUAAGUGCUGAAAGCAUCUAAGCACGAAACUUGCCCCGAGAUGAGUUCUCCCUGAGACUUAGAGUCUCCUGAAGGAACGUUGAAGACGACGACGUUGAUAGGCCGGGUGUGUAAGCGCAGCGAUGCGUUGAGCUAACCGGUACUAAUGAACCGUGAGGCUUAACCUUACA
rnacentral:rRNA from 3 species